UAAGCCAGAUUGAUGAUGAUGUCUAUCACA
rnacentral:piRNA from 1 species